rnacentral:rRNA from 1 species
AGAGUUUGAUCCUGGCUCAGAAUCAACGUUGGCGGCGCGCUUAACACAUGCAAGUCGAACGAGAAAGGGGAGCAAUCCCUGAGUAAAGUGGCGUACGGGUGAGUAACACGUGGGUAAUCUGACUCUUGGCGGGGAAUACCCCCGGGAAACUGGGGACAAUACCGCAUAAGCCCGCAAGGGGAAAGCAGUAAUGCACCGAGAGAGGAGCCCGCGGCCGAUUAGCUAGUUGGUGAGGUAAUGGCCCACCAAGGCUAAGAUCGGUAGCCGGCCUGAGAGGGCACACGGCCACACUGGCACUGAAACACGGGCCAGACUCCUACGGGAGGCAGCAGUGGGGAAUCUUGGACAAUGGGGGCAACCCUGAUCCAGCCAUGCCGCGUGAGCGAUGAAGGCCUUCGGGUUGUAAAGCUCUUUCGUGGGGGAAGAUAAUGACUUACCCCAAGAAGAGC